rnacentral:rRNA from 1 species
GAUGAACGCUGGCGGCGUGCCUAAUACAUGCAAGUCGAGCGAACGGACGAGAAGCUUGCUUCUCUGAUGUUAGCGGCGGACGGGUGAGUAACACGUGGAUAACCUACCUAUAAGACUGGGAUAACUUCGGGAAACCGGAGCUAAUACCGGAUAAUAUUUUGAACCGCAUGGUUCAAAAGUGAAAGACGGUCUUGCUGUCACUUAUAGAUGGAUCCGCGCUGCAUUAGCUAGUUGGUAAGGUAACGGCUUACCAAGGCAACGAUGCAUAGCCGACCUGAGAGGGUGAUCGGCCACACUGGAACUGAGACACGGUCCAGACUCCUACGGGAGGCAGCAGUAGGGAAUCUUCCGCAAUGGGCGAAAGCCUGACGGAGCAACGCCGCGUGAGUGAUGAAGGUCUUCGGAUCGUAAAACUCUGUUAUUAGGGAAGAACAUAUGUGUAAGUAACUGUGCACAUCUUGACGGUACCUAAUCAGAAAGCCACGGCUAACUACGUGCCAGCAGCCGCGGUAAUACGUAGGUGGCAAGCGUUAUCCGGAAUUAUUGGGCGUAAAGCGCGCGUAGGCGGUUUUUUAAGUCUGAUGUGAAAGCCCACGGCUCAACCGUGGAGGGUCAUUGGAAACUGGAAAACUUGAGUGCAGAAGAGGAAAGUGGAAUUCCAUGUGUAGCGGUGAAAUGCGCAGAGAUAUGGAGGAGCACCAGUGGCGAAGGCGACUUUCUGGUCUGUAACUGACGCUGAUGUGCGAAAGCGUGGGGAUCAAACAGGAUUAGAUACCCUGGUAGUCCACGCCGUAAACGAUGAGUGCUAAGUGUUAGGGGGUUUCCGCCCCUUAGUGCUGCAGCUAACGCAUUAAGCACUCCGCCUGGGGAGUACGACCGCAAGGUUGAAACUCAAAGGAAUUGACGGGGACCCGCACAAGCGGUGGAGCAUGUGGUUUAAUUCGAAGCAACGCGAAGAACCUUACCAAAUCUUGACAUCCUUUGACAACUCUAGAGAUAGAGCCUUCCCCUUCGGGGGACAAAGUGACAGGUGGUGCAUGGUUGUCGUCAGCUCGUGUCGUGAGAUGUUGGGUUAAGUCCCGCAACGAGCGCAACCCUUAAGCUUAGUUGCCAUCAUUAAGUUGGGCACUCUAAGUUGACUGCCGGUGACAAACCGGAGGAAGGUGGGGAUGACGUCAAAUCAUCAUGCCCCUUAUGAUUUGGGCUACACACGUGCUACAAUGGACAAUACAAAGGGCAGCGAAACCGCGAGGUCAAGCAAAUCCCAUAAAGUUGUUCUCAGUUCGGAUUGUAGUCUGCAACUCGACUACAUGAAGCUGGAAUCGCUAGUAAUCGUAGAUCAGCAUGCUACGGUGAAUACGUUCCCGGGUCU